ACACACACACACACACACACACACACAUAAUGGCAAAGGCCAGUGCCUUAACAAAGCACAACAGUGAUACAUUUAUUAAUGAAUGCAUAGUUAUUAAUUAAGGUCCUAAUUGUAAAUUCCUUAUAAAUUAAGUAAUGAUUUAGAAAUUAUUCAUAUAAGAAUAUAUUCUAACUCUGGAAUCUUGCUUCCCUAAGAAAUUGACAUAUACUUGUUUUGCCUGUGGAAACAUAAAAGUAUUUUCUAAAAGCAAAUAAGUAUUUUCUAAAAGCACUAACAAAGCAAAAAAAUUUAUAUCAAACCAACGGUGAUUAGAUUUGAUAAUGCAAAUGUGAACUGACUUCUAAAUAAGAAAGGUACAAUUUUUCUUCCUUUUGGUUAAACAUAUAUCCUUUAUAUGCUAUAAUAGAUUUCAUGUACCUACACAAACACAUACCUAUAAGUAAUGUCCUGAACAAUAAAUAUGUUCUGGAAGUGAACUUCCAUGUCAUUCUACCUUAGUGCCCUCACAAAGGAAAGAAGAAUUAUGACACUUCCCCCAAGGCAAGUAAACUUAUUUUUUAACAAAUGCUACUAAUAAAUUUUACUCAGUCAUAUGCUUUCCUUAGUCUAACAAUUUUGUCACUGUAUUUGCCUUUUAGAGUGUAUAUAAAAUAUGUGUGUGGUUUUCUUUUUUUGUUCAUUACAGGUUUUUCUCCACUUAGAGCAUUUGGAAGGAAACAUAUUUGCCUCUGUAAAGUACUAGUUCCUUCUGUAACAUCAGAUGUUACAGGUAACAGAGUUGGAGAAUCGUAUAAGUAUGGGAAUUCUGGGUGGCGAGAAUAUCAAUGAAGAUCAGAGCACCCAAGACCUGCACAGCCAAGUAAUCAAAGAACAGGCCAAGACUUGAAGAAUAAUGGAACCUACAGUCAGAAGUAUUCUAGUGGAUUGUGAACAAAUAAAUCAGAAGGGAAGAAUACUAAUGUACACUUUCCCUGGAAGAGUUACCUUCAAUGGUACUGAGGUCUUCUCAGUAAGGUUUAUUACAAAUUUUACUAUCUCCCAGGAGAAGGGGAAGUAGGUAUAAGGAAUUGAUUGUGUGAGUUUAAUUGCCCAGGCCACAGCAAACCAAAACACCCCUUAGAACCAGGGCCAGCGUCCUGGGAUUUAGCUCUUAUGUGGGGAAGGAUCUGUGCCUCUUCCAAAGGGUGAACCAGUAACGGAAGUUACUUGUAUUCUGAAAACAUCACAAAAAGGGCAUCUAUAUACAACAGAUUGAAAUUUUCCAUAGUAUUUAUUUUAUAAAUAAAGCAUUUUUCCUGCUUA